GGUCCCUUUAAACAAACAAACAAACAAACAAACAACCCCCCCUUGUUAAGUCCGAAUUCCACCGUGCAGAGCUGCCCGUGGGUGAGGCGAGAUCCUUCGGAGCAGAGUGUCUGCAGAGGGGGUCAGAUCGUGGCACCGUGAAGGGAACUGGACCUAGCAAAGGAGUGGGUUAGAAAAGAGGUUUCCUGGAAAGUGAAAACUUGCACAUGACUUUUGAAAAUUCUGCCAGGUUUUCGGCUGGCUGCUGAGACUUUCAGGGAUACUUUGACAUCAUGUACACUGGAGUGAAUUAAUGGUUGUGCUAAGAUCAACUGAGAUAAUAAGGUAGUGUAAAUGAGAACAAAACCUGGCUUCCCUAGUUCAUUUGGAGAACGACUUACCUACAGGUAUCACAUGCUCUGGAAUGAAAUAUUGAGAAAAUCUUGGUUGGAUCAGACGCAUUUCCUUCCAUGGACACUGAGGAAGGAAAGGUUCAUCUGGCUUCUGGGUUUUCCCUGUUCAGUCUAGUCCAUAUACUGGGGAAGGAAACACAAAGCAUUGAUGCAGCAGGAUACCCCAUUGGUGGAGUUGUUCCAGGAGGAGAGGAAGAGCAGGUAACCCCAUCAGCAUCCUCCAGAAAUAGAACUGGGGCAGCAGCGUGUCAAAGGUGUGUGGUAACCCAGCUCUGCAAAGGUGUCAGAAGUGUGUCAGAUGUUAAUCAGAUCUUCAGGAGAACUUAAAGCUUCUUCAUCUUUUUCCUGCUGGUUUACAAUGUAGCUUGUGUUUGAACCACUAGGAUGUUCUUCCUUCACAAAAAAAAAAAAAAAAAAAAAAAGUAUCCAUGCUAGUGUAAUAACAUCUGAUUUAUAAAUGUUUGCAUUUCUGGGUUCCAGUGUACAUACAUCACAGGUACAUUGAUGUUUGUACAUGUGUAGUGCUUAAAGAGCAUUAUAUAGAGAAUUAUGAAUAUAUAUGCAUAUGUGAAUAUACCAUUCCAGCCUGUACUAACAUAUUUUUUGUGGGUUUUUUUUUUCAACUAGAAAAAGAGGUUUCAUACUGAAAUUUUUUUACAUGGCUCCAUUUGUAUGUACAUGCAUACACAAAGCAAGUGAAGAUUUGCGAAGUGCUGAAGUAUUCUUAAUAUUGAAUUAUGUGAAACAGAGUCAUGUUUAUCUUUAUUUAUGUGUAAAAAAUUGUAUUCUUUCAUAUUUUCUGCUGACUAUCAGAGUUUUUUGGUUGGUUUUCAAUCUCAAGAUGGACCCUCUGCUCAUGUUUUUAUUCAACUGAAUAUGGAAAAUUGACAAUACAUUUGCUGAAAUCCAGAACAAUUUUAUAAUGCAUCUUGUACAUCUUCUUAAUGUUGACAGAGAGAAUUGUGCCAAAAGUUUCAACCAGUGUAAGAUUUUCUCCAGACCUUCAACAAAUUUUGUCUCUUAAUUCCCUGUAGCCCCAGUGCAGAACAGCAAACAAGUGUUCCACUUGCUUUUUUGUGUAUGCUCUGACAAAUCUUCUAACCUGAAGCUCUCUUCUGAGCAGAACCUUUUUAUAAUGUUCCCCCUCCUCCUGAUUACAGCAAUUUCAGAUUAUUUUAUCUUCAGGCACUUUUUGUUCCCUCUUCUAAUCCUUAUCAACAGCAUGGCUUGGAUUCUUUAAUUUUACACAUCAUUAUAUGCAAUGAUAAAAAGACUAGACUCGACAUGGGUAAAUGCCAAAUCUCAGCAUGCAUUGGUUACAAAGGUGUAGUUUACAUGAAACAUGUAAGAACAUUAUAUUAGUUAUUUGCCAGUCUGGGGUCUAAAGUGUCAGCAUUUUUGUGUCUCAACAGGACAGAUACUGGCCCAGUGGCUGCCUCUUUCCUAAAGCUUCCUAAAGGUUUGAAUGAGAAAAUGAAACAAUCGCUUUCAACUCCAUGGUUUCCUGCCCUGUGGAUUCUCCAAUGUUUGAUAAUGUGACAGUGAGCAGGCUUUCCCUCCAUCCAUUAACUGAUUCAAAUAUGUUCUCUUCCCCACAUUGCUGAUUUGCAUUAAAUUAGUGGGAUUUAGUAAUUUUGAGAUUUUUUUCAGUGAAAUUGGCCAACAUUGAAAAGAUAUAAAGAGGCAGGAAAUUAUACACAGGUGAGACAGACAAGAUUGUGUCUGCUCUACUUCCAUAGGAAAUCAGGCAUGCAAUCUGUAAAAUUUACCUUCUUGUACUGCAAGAAACAUUGCUCCUAUAACUCUCAAUGUAAGUAUUAAAGAACCAUUUUUUUUGGCUGGAACAGGACUAUAUUCCUGUCAAAUAAUGGGGCAGACUUCUAGUAGGAUUAUAACUACAUACAGGUAGGAAAUAUAAAUACAGGUAGGAUUAUAACUACAUACAGUCUGAUGCAAAGAAUUUCCAGUUCAGCAACAAAAAUGGUUUGAUAACUCAGAAGAUUGAUGUCACUGUCAUUUAAUGGUUUUUAGUAGCUACAAAAUAUACAUAUUUUGGUCCCUAUAUUACCAACAGAAUAUAUAAUUUACACAUUAUUAUGAAUUUAUUAAUUUCUUAAAACUAUCAGUUCAGUUUAUUUAUUUUCGUCAUAUAUUUCUUCACAGUCUCACGAAACUCACCUACCUUUUUGUCAUCGUUUUUCUGUUCCUAACACCUCAGAUUUUAGCAAACUUUCAAAGGACCUUGGGCUAAUUCUGCCUUUCAAGGCUUCACAGGAAGCUGCAUCUUGUGUCUGAUGGACCUCUACGUGCAAAGAACUGAGAUCACAAAGUUCAUCUAUUCAUUAGUUUCAGUAGUGUAACGCUUAGCAUAAAAGACAGGAAUCGGUGAAGUAUAGCUGUGGUUUUGCACUAUGCUUUAUGUAGAAUCUUACCUGGGAUUAAAUUGCAGAAAUACAAGUAAAUGAAUAUUAGAAGUGGAAUGUCAUUAUUUAAGGACUAAAUGCAAGAUCUCAUUGUUUCUAUUCACUAGAAAUAAAUAAUGUGAAUAGCGAAUAAAUUAUUUUAUU
rnacentral:lncRNA from 1 species